rfam:Ovis aries breed Texel chromosome 6, whole genome shotgun sequence.
UCCCUGGUGGCUCAGAUGGUAAAGAAUCUGCCUGCAAUGCAGGAGACCCAGGUUUGAUCCCUGGGUUGGGAA